CCCACAUAUCGAUCGAGGAAUCCCCCUUCAAUUUAGCUUAUGGGACAGAAGCAAUGAUACCGCUCGAGAUCGGAUUGCCAUCAACAAGAGUCAAACAAUAUAGUGAAUCGAGCAACUCUGAAUAUCGGAGAGCCGACUUAAAUCUCCUUCCAGAACUUUGACAGCAAGCUCAAGUUCGAAUGGCUGCAUAUCGACAAAGGAUAGCCCAGUAUUGUAAUGCAAGAGUCAAGCCGAAGGUCUUUCGAUUAGGAGAUUUGAUCUUAAGAAAAGCAGAAAUCUCAAAACCCUUGGAUCAAGAAAAACUAUUCCCGAACUGGGAAGGACCUUACAAAAUAUCCGAAACUC
rnacentral:lncRNA from 1 species